rnacentral:sRNA from 19 species
UAUAACAGCAAUGAAAAGAGAGAUAUGCGACAACAUACCUCUCUGGUGUAGAGCCGUUUAAGACGGUAGCGAUUUUUAGUGAUUUAUAAAAA